UACGGAGGGGGCUAGCGUUGUUCGGAAUUACUGGGCGUAAAGCGCACGUAGGCGGCUUUGUAAGUUAGAGGUGAAAGCCCGGAGCUCAACUCCGGAAUUGCCUUUAAGACUGCAUCGCUAGAAUUGUGGAGAGGUAAGUGGAAUUCCGAGUGUAGAGGUGAAAUUCGUAGAUAUUCGGAAGAAACACCAGUGGCGAAGGGCGAGUCCCUGGACACUUCCUGACACUGAGGCA
rnacentral:rRNA from 1 species